UAAUACCGGAUGCUCCGCUCCAUCGCAUGGUGGGGUGGGAAAUGCUUUUGCGGCAUGGGAUGGGGUCGCGUCCUAUCAGCUUGUUGGCGGGGUGAUGGCCCACCAAGGCGUUGACGGGUAGCCGGCCUGAGAGGGUGACCGGCCACAUUGGGACUGAGAUACGGCCCAGACUCCUACGGGAGGCAGCAGUGGGGAAUAUUGCACAAUGGGCGCAAGCCUGAUGCAGCGACGCCGCGUGCGGGAUGGAGGCCUUCGGGUUGUAAACCGCUUUUGUUCAAGGGCAAGGCACGGUUUCGGCCGUGUUGAGUGGAUUGUUCGAAUAAGCACCGGCUAACUACGUGCCAGCAGCCGCGGUAAUACGUAGGGUGCGAGCGUUAUCCGGAUUUAUUGGGCGUAAAGGGCUCGUAGGCGGUUCGUCGCGUCCGGUGUGAAAGUCCAUCGCCUAACGGUGGAUCUGCGCCGGGUACGGGCGGGCUGGAGUGCGGUAGGGGAGACUGGAAUUCCCGGUGUAACGGUGGAAUGUGUAGAUAUCGA
rnacentral:rRNA from 1 species